GUUUGAAGAGGAAGGAAACCCUUACUAUUCCAGCGCAAGGGUAUGGGAUGAUGGGAUCAUUGAUCCAGCAGACACCAGACUGGUCUUGGGUCUCAGUUUUAGUGCAGCCCUCAACGCACCAAUAGAGAAGACUGACUUCGGUAUCUUCAGGAUGUAACUGGAAUAAAGGAUGUUUUCUGUUGGACAUGUACUGAAAAUUAACACAUGUAGUAGCCUUAAAAUUUUAGACUUCUCGAACAUGAGGCUGUUACAGUAAUUUUUUUAACACUGUGCAUUGUACUUUUCUACCUUAAAAAAAUCAGUGAGGAUAUUUAUUUAAUGAACAUCAAUUCCUUUUAAAUUUUCUUAGAGAAAUUUCUCUGUGGCUCAGUUUUACCACCCAUAAAGCGGAGACAGUAAUUUACGGUUAUCCUUUCUGACCCACAAAGUAUGAAAAGUUCUGUAAUCUGUAAACUCAGUUCUGUAAUCUGUAUUAUUGAGAUGAUUAAUAUAAAGUUGUAUUUUCACUGAAAUGAUUGUUUUGCUGGUUAUGCUUGGUGAUAUUUUAGCGGGCUUAUUUUUGAAAGGCAUCUGUUACUUCAGUGGCAUAAAGUGCCCUCACACUGCUGUGCAGCCAUCACCACCAUUCAUCUCCAGAAUUUGUUCUCAGUCCCAAACUGAAACUAUACCAUUCAAACAACAGCGCUCCCCAUUUCCCCCUCCCCCGAGCCCAUGACAUCUCCUUAUUAUUAUUUUUUUUUUGAGACAGGGUGUUUCUCUGUUGCCCAGGCUGGAGUGCGGUGGUGUGAUCUCGGCUCACUGCAGCUUCCACCUCCCGGGUUCAAGCGAUUCUUGUGCCUCAGCCUCCCAAGCAGCUGGGACUAUAGGCACGCACCACCACACCCAGCUAAGUUCUGUAUUUUUAGCAGAGACGGGAUUUCACUAGGUUGCCCAGGCUGGUCUCAAACUACUGACCUCAAGUGAUCCACCCGCCUCGGCCUCCCAAAGUGCUGGGAUUACAGGUGUGAGCCACCGCGCCUGACCACAUCUCCUUAUUCUUAAAUGUAUGUGUUUCUCAUGGUUUGAUUUAUUCUUGCUGGGCCAUUUCAGCCCCUGUCAUGGCUUCACUCGCCAUCUAAAUGCAGAUGAUUACUGCCUUGACGGUUCUUAACCCAGCUCUCCCCUGAGCUGCAGGCCUGCAUAUCCAGUAGGUCUACUGGACAUCUGUACUGGUUGUUGUGGAGGAACCUCUGGCUUGCUCAUUAAGUCCUACUGAUUUUCACUAUCCCCUGAAUUUCCCCACUUAUUUUUGUCUUUCACUAUCGCAGGCCUUAGAAGAGGUCUACCUGCCUCCAGUCUUACCUAGUCCAGUCUACCCCCUGGAGUUAGAAUGGCCAUCCUGAAGUGAAAAGUAAUGUCAGAUUACUCCCUUCAGUGAUUUCUUGUAGAAGUGCCAAUCCCUGAAUGCCACCAAGAUCUUAAUCUUCACAUCUUUAAUCUUAUCUCUUUGACUCCUCUUUACACCGGAGAACGGCUCCAGCUGUUCUAGCUCUCUUUCAGUUCUUUGAACCUUCCCACCUUAGGGUCUAUAAGGUUCCCUCUGCCCAAAUUGUUCUACUCUCCCUUCUUCUUCAACACAUCCUUCAGUUUAAGCACUUGCUUCUCUCAGUUUAAACUCCACUUCCUUAGGGAUGUCUCUGUGACCUCCCUGUGCUGGAUUAGCUUCCCUACUCUAUGCUCUUGUAAAACACUAUCUACUUCCUUUGUCAUAAACUCAUCAUUUUCCUAUAAACAUUAAUAUUGUCCUCCUGCUAGAAUGUAAGCUCCGUGAGAGCAAGGAUCCUCCUGUUUACCCUGUACCUCCAAUGUCUGGCACUUGUAGGUGCUCAAAUAUUCGUUGAAUGAAUGAAAAAUCCAUAUUGUAAUUGAUGUCCUCUGGCCACAUAGUUUUAAAAUUAGGUGAUUGAUUAUAUGACCGAAUAGAACUAUCAAAUGUUUUCCUAAUAAAGUCAAUAUU
rnacentral:lncRNA from 1 species